CCGGCACUGCUGGCUGCCUGCCCUGCGCUCAUCUGGGUUUUCCGGCUGCAGCUUGGGCUCCCCUAACCCGUGGCCCGCCGCCCUUGCUUCUGUGAGAAUCUCGAUGGGCUGCUUUGCUUUGGUUUCGUUUGUGCUGCGGACGGGAGCAGGAGCUGUGGGGGCUGGACAUCGGCACUGAAACCCCCAGAUAUAAAGCCAGGACCAUUGCAUUUCCUAUUAUACAAAUGGAAGGCUUUUACCAUUUUUAUUGGACUCUCAGCAUGAAGGACGGUGUGUCUUCUCGCUCCUUUAAAAUAAACAAAGCUCUCAGUGCAUAGUAUGGCUCGUGGGGCUCAGAGGAGCACAUGAAGAGUGAGGCGCACGUCAUUCCCUCAGCUGAGCAACGCUCUCCCGCAGGACGCGAUCGGUAUGAAGUUUUGAACCAUUUCUUUGUAAUCCUGUAUUAUUUAAUGAAUACCCAUAACGAGUGAUAGGCAAACUGAGAAGGCAAAAAGAAUGAUGAUGUUGCAAUGCAGGAAAAUGGGAGUUAAGAUUUCUAAUUUUUGCAGCAUCUUUGAGCCUCACAGAUUUCCUAAUGACCUGAGUGGCAGGUGUGUAUGAUCUAGAUUUGUAGAUAGUAUAUUAAACACUUUAUUGUUAUUAUUCCCUAAACAAUAUAACAGCUAUUUAUAUGGCAUUUACACUGUAUUAGAUAUAAUAAGUAACCUAGAGUUUUAAAGUGUGCAGGAGGAUAUGCAAAGGUUAUAUAUGUAAAUACUGCACCAUUGCUUUAAAAAAUGUUUUUAAGUUGAUUUUUAGAGAGAGGGGAAGAAAGGGAGAAAGAGAGGGAGAGAGACAUCAAUGUGUGGUUGCCCCUUACUGGGUACUUGGUCCACAACCCAGGCAUGUGCCCUGACUGGGAAUUGAACCAGUGACCCUCUGGUUUGCAGGCUGGCGCUCAAUCCACUGAGCCACAGCAGCCAGGGCUGUACCAUUGUUUAUAAGGGACUUCAGCAUCUACAAAUCUGGGUGUCUGCGGGGGUCCUAGAAACAAUCCCCACAGAUACCAAGAAAUGACUGUAUCUUUAAACUUCAGCAGCCUCUCUGUUCAAUGGGAUGUUCUAAAAAUUCCCUUCCCUCCUCCCAGCUCGCAAAUCUCCUCCCUGACAUGCUUGGACCUCCAGUUCUCACCUGUGCUGGUGUCUUACCUGCCCCCACUGGACUGGCUGCACUUUUCUUCUCUUGUCUGUGUUAAAACCCCUGGAUGCUGGAAUCCCUUAGAUUUGCUGUUUGCUUGCUUGUUUGUGUGCCUUUUUUAUUUUAUUUUUUUUGCCAGAGAUUAUCUCAAAUAACUUACUAAGAAGAGUGUUAGAGCCAAGAUGGAGCACCCUUCAUAGAUGGAAAUACCCCAUUUCCAAGAUGGAAAUACUGAGCCCCCUCACAUAACCAGAUUUAAGGACAAUGAAGAUUUAGAAACAAAAAUACAACCAGAACAGAUAGAAAAUUGAACUGUACGGAAGUCCGACAACGAACCAUUCAUCCAGACCGCGUGGAAAAAGGAAAGGUGUGAAAUUAUACCCACUUCGCUGCCUCUGCGUCCUGUCCCCAGAACAAACUGCUGACUCCUCUCCAGGAAGCGGAUUUUCACAUUGUAGACUCUGUUCCCGUAAAAGACCACCAAAACGUAGGGUUCUGUCCGGGACUUCACGGAACAGUCUCGGACCAAGAAAGUACCAUCCUGAAGGAAGAGGAAGACUGGUUAUCCUCUCAGGCAACCCAGCGAGCGUCCCACCCUCCCAGCGUGGAAACAGUGCUGCUUACAGUCCCGGAGGGAGAAGGAAACCCGGAUACGUGCACGACAGAAGCCAAGGCGAUGGGCAGAGAGUGAGGGUCCCAAAGGUCAACAGUGUGGAAUGGUCCUCAGGCUGUGAACAGGCACCUGAUACGGAGCAGAACCCGCCAGGCACCCCUGGGAAGGGCUGCGGACGGAGGUCCCACGUAGAAGGCCUAGGAAUGGGGCAAGACCCCCGAAGAUGUUCAGCUGUAAUGGAAGCCUUAAGACUCAAGCACGGAACCUUGCCAAAGAUCAGAAAGGGGAGGAGUCAAGAUGCAUGGCUGACUUCGGGGUUCACCCCCUUAAAGUCCGAAGUGUGUUUGUCACCACGAGUCUGAGUGACCCCGCAGUUGGAAUCAUCUUCGAUAAGUGGAAGACGCACUUUGACUGCACUGAGACUAGCAGAGAAGGCGGCCAUUCACCUGAGAUUUGGUCUUCUCGGCGUUUGCGGGGAGAGAAGGCGGAACUGGGCGCAGAGGGGGUGGGGAGGGGGCAUGGACCCAGGCAGAUUUUGAGAAGGAAGAGCUCCUCUGGAUUACAGGUCUGCCACCUUCUCCAUCUGUGACUGAGACCUUGACUUAGCUUCAUUUUUCUCAUCUCAAAAUAAGAUAUUUCCAUUUA